UACGUAGGGACCGAGCGUUGUCCGGAAUCAUUGGGCGUAAAGAGCGUGUAGGCGGCCUUUUAAGUCCUGCGUGAAAUCCUGCGGCUCAACCGCAGACGGUCGUGGGAAACUGGAAGGCUAGAGUGCGGGAGAGGAGAGUGGAAUUCCCGGUGUAGCGGUGAAAUGCGCAGAUAUCGGGAAGAACACCCGUGGCGAAGGCCGCUCUCUGGAACGCAACUGACGCUGAGACGCGAAAGCGUGGGGAGCAAACAGG
rnacentral:rRNA from 1 species